AUUGAACGCUGGCGGCAGGCUUAACACAUGCAAGUCGAGCGAGCGGCGGACGGGUGAGUAAUGUCUGGGAAACUGCCUGAUGGAGGGGGAUAACUACUGGAAACGGUAGCUAAUACCGCAUACCAUCAGAUGUGCCCAGAUGGGAUUAGCUAGUAGGUGGGGUAAUGGCUCACCUAGGCGACGAUCCCUAGCUGGUCUGAGAGGAUGACCAGCCACACUGGAACUGAGACACGGUCCAGACUCCUACGGGAGGCAGCAGUGGGGAAUAUUGCGCAAUGGGGGCAACCCUGACGCAGCCAUGCCGCGUGAAUGAAGAAGGCCUUCGGGUUGUAAAGUUCUUUCGGUAGCGAGGCGUUAACUACAGAAGAAGCACCGGCUAACUCCGUGCCAGCAGCCGCGGUAAUUC
rnacentral:rRNA from 1 species